rnacentral:rRNA from 1 species
ACCCUAUUAUAAAAAAUGUAAAUUUUAAUAUUAGGGUAGUAUUAGUUAUAUUCUUGAAAUUUAAAAAAUUUGGCGGUAUUUUAGUCUUUUCAGAGGAACCUGUCCUGUAAUUGAUAUUCCACGAUAAAUUUUACUUAAUUUACAAAUUUACAUAUCGUCGUAGUUUGAAUAUUCUAAAAGGGGUUUAAUAUUCAUAAUUUAAUAUAAAUAAAAAAAAUCAGAUCAAGGUGUAGUUUAUAAUUAAGAAGUGAUGGGUUACAAUAAAAUUAUUUAUAUGGUUAUAAUAAUUAAAAUUAUUAUUUAAAGUGGAUUUGAAAGUAAUUUGUUUAAUUUAAAAUAAAUGAUUAAAGCUCUAAAAUAUG